AAAAAACACCUGAUAAACGGAAAACGGAAAUGGCCCAACAGAAGGCUUCCCCUGAAACUAAAAAACAGAAAUUAGAAGCUGAACCACCUGUAACUUUUAGACUGCUUGUUGGAAACCUGAAUUUCAACAAAACCGAUGCUGAACUAAAAACUGGUCUCAGUGAAUUUUUUGCUAAAAAUGAUCUUGUGAUUGUUGGUGUCAGAGUCGGCUUGUCCAGAUUUGGUUAUGUGAAUUUUAAAUCUGCUGAGGACCAGGAAAAAGCCCUGGAACUUAGAGAUACAAAGGUCCUUGGGUAUGAAAUUAAAUUGAAGAAACCAAAGGGAAAGGAAAGAAAGAAAGGU